AGUUUUUGAACGCAAGUUGCGCCCGAAGCCAUCYGGUUGAGGGCACGUCUGCCUGGGCGUCACGC
rnacentral:rRNA from 1 species